rnacentral:rRNA from 1 species
CAGCAGCCGCGGUAAUACGUAGGCGGCAAGCGUUGUCCGGAAUUAUUGGGCGUAAAGGGCUCGCAGGCGGUUUCUUAAGUCUGAUGUGAAAGCCCCUGGCUCAACCGGGGGGGGUCAUUGGAAACUGGGAAACUUGAGUGCAGAAGAGGAGAGUGGAAUUCCACGUGUAGCGGUGAAAUGCGUAGAGAUGUGGAGGAACACCAGUGGCGAAGGCGACUCUCUGGUCUGUAACUGACGCUGAGGAGCGAAAGCGUGGGGAGCGAACAGGAUUAGAUACCCCAGUAGUCCCUGUCUCUUAUAC